AUACGGAGGGUGCAAGCGUUGUUCGGAAUAACUGGGCGUAAAGGGCGCGCAGGCGGUUGGAUAAGUCAGAUGUGAAAUCCCUGGGCUCAACCCAGGAAGUGCAUUUGAAACUGUCCAUCUUGAGUACGGGAGAGGGAAGCGGAAUUCCGAGUGUAGAGGUGAAAUUCGUAGAUAUUCGGAGGAACACCGGUGGCGAAGGCGGCUUCCUGGACCGAUACUGACGCUGAGGCGCGAAAGCGUGGGGAGCAAACAGGAUUAGAUACCCAAGUAGUCC
rnacentral:rRNA from 1 species